GGUGAACGCUGGCGGCGUGCCUAACACAUGCAAGUCGAGCGAAGCACUUACUUUAGAUUUCUUCGGAAUGACGAAGUUUGUGACUGAGCGGCGGACGGGUGAGUAACGCGUGGGCAACCUGCCCUGUACAGGGGGAUAACAGUUAGAAAUGACUGCUAAUACCGCAUAAGCCCACAGCUUCGCAUGAAGCAGUGGGAAAAACUCCGGUGGUACAGGAUGGGCCCGCGUCUGAUUAGCUAGUUGGUAAGGUAACGGCUUACCAAGGCGACGAUCAGUAGCCGACCUGAGAGGGUGACCGGCCACAUUGGGACUGAGACACGGCCCAAACUCCUACGGGAGGCUGCAGUGGGGAAUAUUGCACAAUGGGGGAAACCCUGAUGCAGCGACGCCGCGUGAGCGAUGAAGUAUUUCGGUAUGUAAAGCUCUAUCAGCAGGGAAGAAAGUGACGGUACCUGACUAAGAAGCCCCGGCUAACUACGUG
rnacentral:rRNA from 1 species